GUCCGCGUAGCACAGUGGUAGUGCGCUUGACUACGAUUUCGUAAUCGAGACGAUCAAGAGGUCGUGGUUUCGAUCACCACCGUGGAUU